GCCCACGCGCCGGCCUAGGGAGGGGCAGCCGGGCCGGCGCCUGUCCCGCUCGUUGCCGAGGCAACCUGAUGCGGCCUACUGGGCGUCAGCGCCUGCUGCGAGGCCCGUUCUGGGCGGGAGCAAGCAUAGCCGCUUCCCGCCUUCUCUGCGCACCAUGCACCACCACUUCUGGCGACGGGACACCAGUUCCAACUGCUGAGACGGGAUCAUCAUGGAGCAGAGAGACAACCAGCAGAGGCUCCAGAACUUCCCCCUGCAGAAGGACGCCUUCCUGGAGCUGGGUGGUCCCAGAAGCCAGCUGGGAACUGAACAAUGAGGUGGCUGCAUUGCAAGAAAGUCAGCAGCCUGGCCCAUAAAGAGACUGUGUUGCUGUUACAUCCAGCAGCUCCCAGGCACGCAACCUGCAUGUUGUUACGUUCCUGCCGUGCUGUAUGCAAAUCUCAUAAUGAAGGCAAUGCUCCAGGGAGGUUCUGGAUUCACAGCCUUGCACAAGACUGGCCUUAGGAAAAUGGUGCCCUGGAUAAACUUGUGUUUUGUUGCCUCUGACUUUUGUGGGCAUAGCACCCCCCAUUUCCCUUGGCACCCAGGGGCUCCUCAACCCCUGCAUGCCCAUCCGGUGCUCUCUUUACCACUGGCCCCUGCAUUGUGCCCCCUUUGCCCCUAACCUCUACACAGUGCCCCCUUCAUCCACCCCUGCACUUUCCUCCCAUCUGUGCCCCCAACCCCAGCCCUGCGCUUCCAGCAUGCCCCAUCACACUGCCCCCCUGCCCAGUAUUGUCCACCCCCUUUGCCUAGCAACACCCAUGUUCCAUUGCUGGUGGCUACAGUGCCCUAGGCAUGGGCCCACUUUGCCCAGCCCCAUGGCCAGUCUGGCCCUGCACACAAACUCUUGGUUUAAUUUACUGCACAGAUACAGCCUGUGGGUGCCAGCUUCCCUGCUCUAUCAAAGGGCCUCAUCCCUGGCUUGGAAGGAGCACCCAAAGGGAGACAGCGCGACCCAGUUCUUGGGGUCCAAGGCACAUGUUCCACUCCAGCUCUGCCUUUGAGUUGCUCACACUCUGGGCAAGGGACGUCACCUCUUUGACUCAGUUUUCCCACUCUGUAAAAUGGAAGUAGCGAGGUGUGCCCAUCUUUGUCAAGUGCCUGGGAAAUACAGCUGAAGGACACCAGACAUUAUUUCAGGUCUCCAGCCUGGCCCAGCCAUGGCCUCCUGCUGAGAACUGGCAACAGAGGCAUCCCCUGUGGUAAUAAUGGCAUCUGUGAUGUCGAUAUCAAAAGUAACAGCUCCCUCAUGCUUGAACACCUCGCAAUCUUCAACACCUCCACAACACUCCUGUAAGGCAGGGCAGGGCAAAUAGUUCCACUCACCAGCUAGUGCACAGAGAGGCUAAGGGACUUGCCCAGGGCCACACAGGAAGUCUGUGGUGGAAUGGAUACAUUAACCCAGGGCUCUCAAGUGCCAGGCCAGUGCCCCAAAGACUGGACUACCUUUGACCUCUUAAGGGGACCAAAAUAUGCUCAUGUUCCAACCACUGUGUUUUCUUUUCUCCUCAGUAGCCCAGGACCACAAACUCCUAUCUCACAGGAGUCAGGAGCUGGUACAUACCACCAAUCAUGGCUUUAUCCAGACCAGUGACCUACGUCCGAUGUCGUUUGUCUCCUUGCCUAUUGCCUGAGACCACCUGGGCUACUCCUUUAUUUAUGAUCUUGUCCAAAGCUGACUGAAAUCAAUACCAGUCUUUCCACUGAUUUCAGUGGCCGUUGGCGUGAUCCAUUGGUGAGUGAAGUGCAUUUUCACACGCCUGGUAGCGAGAUGACAACCCCAUUCCCUGAGCCGGCUUUCCCAUGAAAGCUCAUGAUACCAUCUACAUGUUUUGUUAGUCUAUAAAGUGCUACCGGACCAUUUGCUUGCUGGUUUUUUCAUGUAAUCUCUGUUAGUGUGCAAAGAGCCAUAAUCAUAAAAGCCUUUGGGAGGAAAAGUAAUAGAUAUGUAGCCGUGUUAGUCUGGUCUAGCUGAAACAAAAAAACAGGACUAAAGCAGCCAUUGCACAUGUUUAUUUUAACCUCCAAUGCAGUGACACAGUUGAAAGCCCAGGUGGAAAAUGAGGUUAAUGAUCUCUUAGAAUUAUAGGUUAGAAUUCCCAGCACAGCCCAACUCCAUUACCAGAAAGUGCCUUGAAACACAUCUGCUAAUGAGGCACCCCGGCGGGGG